rnacentral:rRNA from 1 species
UACGGAGGGGGCGAGCGUUGUCCGAAGUUACUGGGCGUAAAGCGCGCGUAGGCGGGUUGGUAAGUCCGCUGUGAAAGCCCGGAGCUCAACUCCGGAGGGUCGGUGGAUACUGCCAGUCUUGAAGGUGCUAGGGGGAGAUGGAAUUACCGGUGUAGCGGUGAAAUGCGUAGAGAUCGGUAGGAACACCAGUGGCGAAGGCGGUCUCCUGGGGCAUACUUGACGCUGAGGCGCAAAAGCUGGGGGAGCGAACGGG